rnacentral:rRNA from 1 species
GAUGAACGCUGGCGGCGUGCCUAAUACAUGCAAGUCGAGCGAACAGACGAGGAGCUUGCUCCUCUGACGUUAGCGGCGGACGGGUGAGUAACACGUGGAUAACCUACCUAUAAGACUGGGAUAACUUCGGGAAACCGGAGCUAAUACCGGAUAAUAUAUUGAACCGCAUGGUUCAAUAGUGAAAGACGGUUUUGCUGUCACUUAUAGAUGGAUCCGCGCCGCAUUAGCUAGUUGGUAAGGUAACGGCUUACCAAGGCAACGAUGCGUAGCCGACCUGAGAGGGUGAUCGGCCACACUGGAACUGAGACAAGGUCCAGACUCCUAAGGGAGGCAGCAGUAGGGAAUCUUCCGCAAUGGGCGAAAGCUUGAAGGAGCAACGCCGCGUGAGUGAUGAAGGUCUUCGGAUCGUAAAACUCUGUUAUUAGGGAAGAACAAAUGUGUAAGUAACUAUGCACGUCUUGACGGUACCUAAUCAGAAAGCCACGGCUAACUACGUG